UACGGGGGGGGCAAGCGUUGUUCGGAAUUACUGGGCGUAAAGGGCUCGUAGGCGGCCAACUAAGUCGGACGUGAAAUCCCUCGGCUUAACCGGGGAACUGCGUCCGAUACUGGUUGGCUUGAGUUUGGGAGAGGGAUGCGGAAUUCCAGGUGUAGCGGUGAAAUGCGUAGAUAUCUGGAGGAACACCGGUGGCGAAGGCGGCCUUCUGGACAGCAACUGACGCUGAGACGCGAAAGCGUGGGGAGCAAACAGG
rnacentral:rRNA from 1 species